CACGAAAAUUCAAUUUCCCUCAUUUUUUUCUCACUCGAGUCAGUGAACCUUUUUACCUUAACAUACGCCCAUCUGUCUCUCUCUCAUCCUCGACUCGUCUCCGGCUUCCUCUCUCUCUCCUCCCGCGGCCGUCUGUCGUCUCGCUCUCUCGCUUUCUCGUUGCAAGCGGCAAGCCGUCGUGUCUCUCUCUCUCGUCUCCCGUCUUUUCAGAUUAAAUGUAGGAAAGGAGUAACUUGUGAUAGUGACAUCGAGAUGGAUAAGAAUUGGAUGCAAGAACCUACUCGAUGUUCAGAUCGAUAUUUAAAAGGUGUUGAAGAAUUCCUUAGAAUGACGCGUCAAUGUGUGGAUGUAAUUGGUAUUAUGAGGUAUCCAUGUCGUGAUUGUGCAAAUCGAUAUUUUCCGCAUAUUGAAUUGGUGGAGAGUCACUUGUAUCUGCAUGGAAUUGAUCGCACAUACACUCAAUGGAUACUUGAUGGGGAAGAAGAUCCGUGUAGUAUAAAUGUGAUUGCCAACUUACACACGGAUACAAAUGUGAGGAUAGAGGAGAUUGAUGGCAUUUGCAAAGAAGUGGCCCCUUUACUUGAGCACCAAAAACACAAUUCUUAAAAAAUAUGAUGGCAGGGAUCUUUUACAAGUCCAAACAUGAUAACACUUAUGGGAUUCAUGUUCCUACUCAUUUCUGCUUUGCUUGGCUAUGCAAAUUUAUUCACCUUGCUUGGAUUCAGCUCCUCCAAGAUGGGUUCGUUUUGCACAUGGAUUGCUACUUUUUCUGUAUCAGGUCUGUUUAAAAUUAAUUCAAACUGUGUAAUCAUAUUGUUUCUUCCAAGCUUCUUGUCAUAUUUUAUGUAUAUCGGGCAUAUUUCUCCUUGCUGAGUAGGAUGAAAACAUUAAGACACUCGGCGUACAAUAUUUUCUUCAUCCAAUUUCUUUUACUUUUAUGUAUUACUUUAGUUUCAGUUGUACAACUGCAUUGGAUAUUUUCACAUUCUAGUAUACAUUCAGUGGUAUGAAAUGCUUAGUAGUUGUGGAAAAAGUGCUGCUGCUUGACAGCUAUAGAGCUCUUGUUUAAAUUUUAUAGCUAUGCAAAUUAAACUUUUUAAUCCAAUUUCAUUUUUUUCAAUUCUGAAUCAAUGUCCUGAUAAGUAGAUAACCUUUCUGUCUUGCCCUUCUUUGGUAUAAUCAUUUUGGGAGAAGUUGGUGUCUUAUCUAAGUAGUGAAUAUAUUGAAUUGACUAUUGCAUGAUUGAGUUUUGUAACAUUUUUUCAAGAAUUUCAGCUGGUUCUCUUUGAUUUGGUUAAUUCUUUCGUGUAGACAAUGUGUGGACAUAAUUGUUUCCUUAUUAAUUUUUAAAUCCACUCCUUAUUAAUUUUUAAUUUUUUGAAUAGUCAAAAAAUUAUUCACUGGAAGUAUGUAUCUUGAUUUGCUGUGUAUAGUGAGAAAUUCUUACAAGGUAGAAUGUGUGGAUCUGGACUUCUUUUUGUACUUUUGAGAUGGUUUUACAUUUGUGGUCAAUUGCCUAGUUUAUUUCUUGUAUGCAGUUACCAUAACUGCUCUCUAACACUAUUAUAAGCGUUUUUUUUUUUCCCAUAUCAUUAGAGGUGACUCAGUGGUUGCCGCUAAUGAUGUUUUAAAUAGUGGCGACCAACAUGUCGCCGCUAAUGAUAUGUCAUCAGCGGCGACUUAGUGGUUGUCGCUAAUGGUAUGUCAUUAGCGCUGACUUGAUGGUCGCUGCUAAUGACACACCAAUAGCGGGAACACUAGGGUUAUUUCGAACAAUUUUUAGUGGCAAAAAAAAAUUAUUAGCGGCAAAAAAAAAAAAUAUUAGCGGUGACCUAGAGUCGCCGCUGCUGAGUGAUCAUUAGCAGCGACCCUAAAUGUCGCAGCUAAUGGUCUCUACUGUCAGAUUACUACUGACCAAAAAGUAGCAAAUAGCGGUGACAUUUGCCUCAUUAGUGGCGACAAUGGGUCGCUGCGAAUGAGGCAUUUUCUUGUAGUGAAUAAUAACAGGAUACUGCGUAUGUCUUGAAUUAUGUUAUAAAAAUGAAUUUAUUUAAUGUCGUAUA